AAACUGGAAACUACGACAAAGCUAUAGAGUUUUACGAAAAAGCUCUGGAAAUUCAAAAACAAUCGUUAGUUCCAAAUCAUGUUGAUGUUGCUAUGUCUUUGAACAAUCUUGGCACGAUGUAUGAAGAAACUGGAAACUACGACAAAGCUAUAGAGUUUUACGAAAAAGCUCU